CUGCCCCGUGAGAGUUUGGAAGUCCUGCCCUAAGCCUCACCUCAGCCCUCAGCGGUCCCUUCUUUCCUUGGAUACCUCAUUUCUAUUUUCAUUCAUAACCAAUGUUCUGAGUGUUUGCUGUGUGCCAGACAUGCCUGAGUCACCAACGAUACCAGGGACACUAGCGGGGACACUACACAGCCGGCGUCCUGUCUCUGGCCACUCCACCCAGUCCUGGAAAGGUCCUGGGCUGGAAUGAACGGUGUGACAUUACCUCAGGGGAGCAGAUUUUAUAUAUUUAUUUGAGAGAGAGCAAGCAAGCACAAGUCGGGGG